rnacentral:misc_RNA from 1 species
UUAAGUUCAGCGGGUAUCCCUACCUGAUCCGAGGUCAACCGUAAAAAAUGGGGGAUUUUGGCAAGCAACCGGGGAGACUCUAUAGCGAGGAGAUUUACUACGCUUAGAAGCCCACCGGCACCGCCACUGAUUUUAGGGGCCGCGGGACCGCGAACCCCAAUACCAAGCUAGGCUUGAGUGGUCAUAAUGACGCUCGAACA